UGUGGACAGUAUGGGAGUGAGAAUGUUGGCAUGAGUAGCGAGAUGUGGGUGAGAAUCCCACAGGCCGUAAACCCAAGGUUUCCAGGGGAAGGUUCGUCCGCCCUGGGUUAGUCGGGACCUAAGCUGAGGCCGAAAGGCGUAGGUGAUGGACAACAGGUUGAUAUUCCUGUACUACCGAUAACCAUUUGAGAGAAGGGAUGACACAGUAGGAUAAGCUAAGCACACUGUUGGUUAUGUGUGCCCAAGCAUUGAGGCAGUCAAAGUAGGCAAAUCCGCUUUGAUAAUGCUGGGAUGGGAUGGGGAGCGAAAUUUAGUAGUGAAGUAGCUGAUUUCACACUGUCAAGAAAAGUCUCUAUCGAGGUUAAAGGUACCCGUACCGCAAACCGACACAGGUGGGUGAGGAGAGUAUCCUAAGGCCAGCGAGAGAACUGUUGUUAAGGAACUCGGCAAAAUGACCCCGUAACUUAGGGAUAAGGGGUGCCACCAUCAGGUGGCCGCAGAGAAUAGGCCCAAGCGACUGUUUACCAAAAACAUAGGUUUCUGCUAAGUCGGAAGACGUUUUAUAGGAGCUGACGCCUGCCCGGUGCUGGAAGGUUAAGGGGAUCUGUUAGAGCAAUCGAAGCAGUGAACUUAAGCCCCAGUAAACGGCGGCCGUAACUAUAACGGUCCUAAGGUAGCGAAAUUCCUUGUCGGGUAAGUUCCGACCCGCACGAAAGGCGUAACGAUUUGGGCACUGUCUCAACAACAGACUCGGUGAAAUUGUAAUUCCGGUGAAGAUGCCGGAUACCUGCGACAGGACGGAAAGACCCCAUGGAGCUUUACUGUAGCUUGACAUUGGGUCUUGGUACUACAUGUACAGGAUAGGUGGGAGGCUUUGAAACCAGGACGCCAGUUUUGGCGGAGCCAUCCUUGGGAUACCACCCUUGUAGUACUGGGACUCUAACCAUAG
rnacentral:rRNA from 1 species